CCGAUGCGACCUGCGAGGCGAAAGAGGAGCGGCGCACAGAGGAGAGGAGCGGCCGGUGUUCGUCGGUCGAUUGGAUCCACCGGGGUGUGUGAAAGAGAUGGGAUGGGACGCGUCGGCCGUUCCCAGACCGAUCGAUCACUGUCGCUCCUGAAAAAAAUUCGCUCGAGGGGGGAAGGGGAUCCGCCGCCGCACGCGAUUCUGAUCGACGCCAUGGCCGCUCGUUUAAGCGAAAGUGCUCCGGCGAAGUUGUGCCGCCGCCGGCACCGCCACCACAACCACUACCGCUCGAAGUCGGUGGAUCUCUGAGACAACCCCAUGCUCCGAUCUGAACGGGGCGGCCGGACUGCCUGCGUGGCGGUGGACGACGUCGCCCAGGCCAACAACAUCAUCCAGCGCCUCAACGACUUCCCCUCCAUGGCGCACAUCUCCGGGAUGGGCCUCAAGGUCGUGCCGAUGAUCGCGGCCUUCUCCAACCUCUGCGCAGUCAACCUCUCCGGCACCGAUGAUGAAAUCAUUUCUGCUAUCGCUGCAUUACUACAUCCUCCGCCUGCUCAUAUCAUGCUGUGUAGGAUGUUUGCCUUUCUUCAUUCCGUGUCUGUGACCUCUAGCCAUUUGUCAGACAUGUUUUUUUCUUAGUUUCCAUUUGCCCGGCAUCUUGCUCACUCCCUUAUUAUCCAGCUGACUUCUUGUUGACUGUUGCUUGUUAUAGGAAUUGCCCUGCUCGUUUGCUCAAAGGUUCUGUAUCCCCAGAAUGUAUGUAUCACUCGGAACUGAGAGUCUGCUCCUGGACAGGUACAGUUGUUUUCUAAUACCUACAUCUUAUAUCUAUGCACCAUCGAGGAUCUGAAAUCAGUUGUCCAGUUUGUCCCUCAAAGAACGUAGUUAGUCCUUUUCCUAUGGUGUAAGGACAUUCGUUUCGUAUACAUGAUUUCCCAGCAGCAAUAUUUAUACACAAGCUAACUCCAAAGAGAUGACUGAUCAGGCUAAUCGCAAAGCUAUUCAGGGAGGAAAGGCGUAGUACUAGAAGAGGAAAAGACGCAGAUCUUGUCAUCUUGACACCUGACACUUGAACCAUCUUGCCAAAAUAUCUGAAAUACGAAUUUGUGAAAAUGUUCUACCAUACUCUAUAUCCAUCUCAGAUUAAAUUCCAAACAUGCAACCCACUUUUAAGACCGUCAUGAAAGAGUUGAGAUGGUGGUCCUUUUAGGACACCUUUUUUUGUUACUAUAAGAAAUUGUCUUCGUAUUUAUUUAUGUAUGUAUAUUAUGAACAAAUUUUCAUCCUACAAUGUUUUUUUUGGGUUAUUACUUAUUACUUACUAACUGGAGCACCUCAUGUUUUUAAAAGGGAAACUAACAUGAAACAACUUAUUUCAGUAUGUUUAUCUUCCCCUGUUAUGUAUAUUUAGUCAAGUUUAGCCUUUGCGAUGGAAUUGUAUAUAACAACAUUAGUUGUCCUGUUCACUUUCAUCAAUGAGCAACAAAGAUUUAACCGCCAGAAAAAAAAAGAUAUGGAUUAGCAUCCCUCUGGACAAAUAAGAAAAUGCAAUCGUUUCAAGGAUUUCAGUCAUCCCUUGUGGCUUUAGGAACUAUAUAACAACAAUGUCCGUAUGUAUUUUUAUACAGUUUUUUCUUCUAUAGUUAAGAUUUUCUUGUGCAAAGUAUCUAAUAUCAAUCAUGUACUUUUUUUUUGUACGUGCUUAUACCUUCAAAUAAUAGAGCCAUUUUACUGAACACCUAAAGGCAAUAACAAAGGCAAUUUUUAUCCCUUGUGGCUGAAUUUUUUCUGAAUCAGUUUAACUGUGUUGGUCGUACAAUUCGCUCGGAGCAAGAACAAAUUCAACAAGGUUGGUUUAGCUGUGUUGUUUCCCCCCCUUUUCGGUUCGGGCUUGGUUGGUUUAGCUGUGUUGUUUCUCCCCCUUGUCGGGCCGAGCAUCCCUUGUCUGUCUGCUCCGGGCACCAUGUUCACACCUGUCUGCGUUCGUGUAAUGUGUUGUACCCCCGCUGUACUCGUUCUACUUCUUCUAUCAAUAAAAUGAUACGCAAACUUUGCGUAUUCGCGAAAAAACAAAUUCAACAAGGCAAUAAAACAAAGCGUGGAAUACCUAAAGGACAUCCAAUACUCUCAGGGAAUUCGAGGAGGUACUGCUCUUUUACUGAACAACAUGGUCACGCUUUUUUAUUGAGAGAAGCAUGCUCACCUUGAGGCAUCCUGAAGUUUUGUGCGGCCAUGUAUGACGUUGUGAUAGUCAUGUGCUGAUUUUGUGAGAUAUCAUUGUGUCCUUGACUUUGAACAUCAGUUAUAAAUAAGACGAGAAGUUGUAUCGAUAGCAUCGGUUUUAUUCCCUUGCAUCAAAAUGAAGAAUUUCCUCGCUAGAUUUUCAUAACAUAAAUAUACCACCCGGAUCGCUGCCGAGGGUUCUGCACUCGCUGGAUAUGUCACGGAACAAGAUAACAAAUGUCGAGGGACUCCGGGAACUAAUGAAGCUGCGCGUGCUCAACCUCAGCCACAACUGGAUUUCAUCCACAUCGGCCUGGGUACAUACUUGGAGAUAACAUGAUGGUAAGAAGGCAAGAAGCAGGUACAUGUAUAGGUGGGUUUUUGGAGUCUCAGAGGGGCACAUAUGAAGUAUCCACAACAAAGCAUGUCGAGUACCUCAUGGCUUGUAUCAGUGCCCAGCUUGACGGCGAACUAUUCUCUGAAAAGCUUGCUAAUGAAUCUCUGUUCAAUUAUUAGGGGCUACAUUCCUUCUAAACUUCUGCGGCGUUAUCAACGCGAUCUUAAAGUGCAAGGUGUGUGCGCACAUAUAACACUUAGCAGAUUAUUGUGAAUCUUAAGGAAGGAGCACAUCUCAAGGCUAAGCAUUUUGCGCUCUUAUAUUGGGUAAUAUCCGCUCUUUAAUACACAAGAAGUUCAACUCUGGAGUAGUUGUCAGGAAAGCAAAGAUCUAAGUCAAGUAAGGGCAUCUUCAGUUACUAUUUUUGCAGCAUGUCUGAAGGUAAAAGUAGCAGCCUGAUGCCAUGUACAACACUACAAAAUGAAGUUUUCCAGCAUGAGUGGCAGGAGAUGCAAAUCAAGAAAAUUGCAUACUGUAAGGUGUGCUCCUUCAUGUAGCUACAUAUAUUGUCUUGGUUAAGGAAAUUCUAAAAUGAAUGUUUGCUGAAAUUCUCAUGUAGAUUUAAAUAUUGGCUUUGAAUCAUGUUUCAAAUACCAGGAUAUAGGUAGCCUUGAAAGAGAUCAUGAGAACCUGGAAGGUCAUUGUUCAACGUUCUCAAUAUUACAUAUCAUAUAGUUGCGUGAUGCCCUUAAAUCUUGAGUAACUUUUGCUCAAAGUUGGGGAAUUUGUGAGGCCAUUUUGGACGCUAUGUGUUCAUGGUGUAUACUUUGUAUAGUGAUUGGUCUUACUACUGAAGCUGACAUAUUUACUCUUCUAUGUGUUUUUUUAUUGUUCUUUUAUGAACAAGUAUUGGUCA